rnacentral:rRNA from 1 species
GUCUAUGGCCAUACCACCCUGAACGCGCCUGAUCUCGUCUGAUCUCGGAAGCUAAGCAGGGUCGGGCCUGGUUAGUACUUGGAUGGGAGGAAUACGAUGCAGCCAUCAAAA